AAAGUACGCAGCCGGUUGUUAAACAUCGUCAGAAAAAUAUUGCUUCUCGGCUGCCCAUCAACCAUCCUUCUAAACUCGCUUCAAACCAGCAUCCACAACCCCGCGUCAAAUGAUGGAAAAGGAGAACAAAUCCACCAACGACAAUGGGCGGAAACCAUCCGGGCGAGAUCUGCAGUCGCUCCCGACGCGACAAUACCUGGACCAAACGGUGAAUCCCAUCCUGCUGCAAGGCCUGAAGGCACUGGCCAAGGAUCGACCCCAGGAUCCAGUGCAGUAUUUGGCGAACUUUCUGAUGAAAAACAAAAGUCGCGUCGACGAGACCAACGGCGGCACGGAGGAGGGUUGAAAACAGUAGGUGAGUGACAAAAGGGGAAAACUUGGAAAAUAUGUUUUUUUAUGUGUCCACUGUUUGGGGCAAAAUAUUGUGAAAAUAGAAUGUACAAUCUGAAAUCAUGUGUAUCUCAAA